rnacentral:lncRNA from 1 species
AGGCAAUAUUCACUCGUUAAACAGUUCUUCGUUCUCAACUGUUCUCUGAGGGGCGGGGGAAGGCAGUAAAAUGAAGUCGACUCGGUCUGGGCCUGGGGCUGUUUUCUUGUAGAUGGAUUUAUGGAAGUGACUUUCUUCUCUGGCCCGGCGAGAGAACUGCUUUCUGGUUUACAGAACUUGGGUGUAGUGAGAAUCCUCCCUUCCACCAGCACUGAAGAAGCACUUCCUCUGAAAGAAGAUUCUGGAAAUGUAGUGGAAGACCUUGCUACCUCACAUCUACCACCUUGUCUACCUCGUACCUCCUCGGGAGUGCCUGGUGGAGACAUGUGGAAAAGAGCUGGAAAGUGAGAAUAGAAUCCCAUUUAUCCACAGUAGCUCAACUAUAGUUAUUAAGGAGUUAUAAUACUGUUCACUGCUUCUGCCUGUGGUGUCUAUUUCUUCCCUCUUUGUCAAAGCCACUUUCAGGUGCCUUAGCCUCUUCCAGAUCCAAGCUUUCUGACUGACGUGUUUAAGAAAGUGAAAUAAAAGUUUGUAGACUACCCUA